rnacentral:rRNA from 1 species
AGAGUUUGAUCCUGGCUCAGGAUGAACGCUGGCGGCGUGCUUAACACAUGCAAGUCGAACGGGAACCCCUGGACUCGUCUGGGGGGGAGAGUGGCGAACGGGUGAGUAACACGUUGGUGACCUGCCUCGAAGAUGGGGAUAACUACUGGAAACGGUAGCUAAUACCCAAUGUGCUCGGUGAUUCGGUUCGUCGAGUAAAGUUCCGGCGCUUCGAGAGGGGCCUGCGGCCCAUCAGCUAGUUGGUAAGGUAAUGGCUUACCAAGGCAAAGACGGGUAGGGGACGUGAGAGCGUGAUCCCCCACACUGGCACUGAGAUACGGGCCAGACUCCUACGGGAGGCAGCAGUGAGGAAUAUUGCCCAAUGGGCGAAAGCCUGAGGCAGCAACGCCGCGUGGGUGAUGAAGGCCUUCGGGUCGUAAAACCCUUUUCUGGGGGAAGAGAAAGGACGGUACCCCAGGAAUAAGUCUCGGCUAACUAUGUGCCAGCAGCCGCGGUAAGACAUAGGAGACGAGCGUUAUCCGGAUUUACUGGGCGUAAAGAGCGAAAGCUAGGGGAGCGAACGGGAUUAGAAACCCCGGUAGUCCUAGCCGUAAACGAUGGAUACUAGGUGUAGGGGGUUAGAAACCCCUCUGUGCCGAAGCUAACGCGUUAAGUAUCCCGCCUGGGGACUACGGCCGCAAGGCUAAAACUCAGAGGAAUUGACGGGGGCCCGCACAAGCAGCGGAGCGUGUGGUUUAAUUCGAUUCAACGCGAAGAACCUUACCAGGGCUUGACAUGCAAGUAGUAGUGAAGCGAAAGCGGAACGAUCCUUCGGGAAGCUUGCGCAGGUGCUGCAUGGCUGUCGUCAGCUCGUGCCGUGAGGUGUUAGGUUAAGUCCUGUAACGAGCGCAACCCUCGCCGUUAGUUAUACGUGUCUAGCGGGACUGCCCGGCUCAACUGGGAGGAAGGUGGGGAUGACGUCAAGUCAGCAUGGCCUUUAUGUCCUGGGCUACACACACGCUACAAUGGCCGGUACAAUGGGUUGCCAAGCCGCGAGGCGGAGCCAAUCCUCCAAAGCCGGUCUCAGUUCGGAUUGUAGGCUGCAACUCGCCUGCAUGAAGCUGGAGUUGCUAGUAACCGCAGGUCAGCCACACUGCGGUGAAUACGUUCCCGGGCCUUGUACACACCGCCCGUCACGUCAUGGGAGCUGGUAACACCUGAAGCCGGUGGGAGCCAACCUAACGGAGGCAGCCGUCGAAGGUGGGACUGGUGACUGGGACGAAGUCGUAACAAGGUA